AACGAACGCUGGCGGCAGGCCUAACACAUGCAAGUCGAACGCUCGUAGCAAUACGAGAGUGGCAGACGGGUGAGUAACGCGUGGGAACGUACCUUUCGGUUCGGAAUAACCCGGGGAAACUCGGGCUAAUACCGGAUACGUCCUGCCCCUUAAACAAGGGUGGGAGAAAGAUUUAUCGCCGAAAGAUCGGCCCGCGUCGGAUUAGCUAGUUGGGCGGGGUAACGGCCCACCAAGGCGACGAUCCGUAGCUGGUCUGAGAGGAUGAUCAGCCA
rnacentral:rRNA from 1 species